rnacentral:rRNA from 1 species
GGGUUGUGAGGUUAAGCGACUAAGCGUACACGGUGGAUGCCCUGGCAGUCAGAGGCGAUGAAGGACGUGCUAAUCUGCGAAAAGCGACGGUAAGGUGAUAUGAACCGCUACAGCCGUCGAUGUCCGAAUGGGGAAACCCGGUGCACUCUGUGCAUCAUCGUUUGAUGAAUACAUAGUCAAACGAGGCGAACCGGGGGAACUGAAACAUCUAAGUACCCCGAGGAAAAGAAAUCAACCGAGAUUCCCCCAGUAGCGGCGAGCGAACGGGGAGCAGCCCAGGACCUGAAUCAGCUUGUGCAUCAGUGGAAGCGUCUGGAAAGUCGCGCGAUACCGGGUGACAGCCCCGUACACGAAGAUGCAUGAGUUGUGAGUCCGACGAGUAGGGCGGGACACGUGGUAUCCUGUCUGAACAUGGGGGGACCAUCCUCCAAGGCUAAAUACUCCUGACUGACCGAUAGUGAACCAGUACCGUGAGGGAAAGGCGAAAAGAACCCCGGCGAGGGGAGUGAAACAGAACCUGAAACCGUGUACGUACAAGCAGUGGGAGCACCUUUAGGGUGUGACUGCGUACCUUUUGUAUAAUGGGUCAGCGACUUAUAUUCUGUAGCAAGGUUAACCGCAUAGGGGAGCCGAAGGGAAACCGAGUCUUAAUUGGGCGUUAAGUUGCAGGGUAUAGACCCGAAACCCGGUGAUCUAGCCAUGGGCAGGUUGAAGGUUGGGUAACACUAACUGGAGGACCGAACCGACUAAUGUUGAAAAAUUAGCGGAUGACUUGUGGCUGGGGGUGAAAGGCCAAUCAAACCGGGAGAUAGCUGGUUCUCCCCGAAAGCUAUUUAGGUAGCGCCUCGUGAACUCAUCCUCGGGGGUAGAGCACUGUUUCGGCUAGGGGGCCAUCCCGGCUUACCAACCCGAUGCAAACUGCGAAUACCGAGGAAUGUUAUCACGGGAGACACACGGCGGGUGCUAACGUCCGUCGUGAAGAGGGAAACAACCCAGACCGCCAGCUAAGGUCCCAAAGUCAUGGUUAAGUGGGAAACGAUGUGGGAAGGCACAGACAGCCAGGAUGUUGGCUUAGAAGCAGCCAUCAUUUAAAGAAAGCGUAAUAGCUCACUGGUCGAGUCGGCCUGCGCGGAAGAUGUAACGGGGCUAAACCAUGCACCGAAGCUGCGGCAGCGACACUAUGUGUUGUUGGGUAGGGGAGCGUUCUGUAAGCCGCUGAAGGUGUGCUGUGAGGCAUGCUGGAGGUAUCAGAAGUGCGAAUGCUGACAUAAGUAACGAUAAAGCGGGUGAAAAGCCCGCUCGCCGGAAGACCAAGGGUUCCUGUCCAACGUUAAUCGGGGCAGGGUGAGUCGACCCCUAAGGCGAGGCUGAAAAGCGUAGUCGAUGGGAAACAGGUUAAUAUUCCUGUACUUGGUGUUACUGCGAAGGGGGGACGGAGAAGGCUAGGUUAUCCGGGCGACGGUUGUCCCGGUUUAAGCGUGCAGGUGUGAAGACCAGGCAAAUCCGGUCUUCUUUAACACUGAGGCGUGA